ensembl:lncRNA
UAAUUAUAAGUCCGAAGUGGUUGAGUCAGUUCUCUUUGGAGUGACAGCUCGAAUCCAAAGUGGUUGAGUCAGCUCUCCUUGGAGUGGCAGCUACUGGCUCUGGGAUCUCAGCAGAAACUCCUUUGUUCCCAUCUUCCGAGCCUUGCCAGCAGAUAAGAGGGAGGAGGUAUGCCCACCUGCAUGCUGUUUUUCACAGGACACGAUGGUAUCAUUCCCCAGUUUUUCCCAUACCAAGCUGGAGUUAUUUGGUCACAGGCCAGAUCUUCCUCCAGUAACCACUCCUGAGCACUCUCUUCUGGAGGCAAACAGCUCCAAAGAGAUGCUUUCAAAUGUAAAAUUGUCCACACAGUGAUGUUGAUUGCCACACGGCAACACCCACCUCUCAUCUAAGUCAGAAUCUUAUCUCAAUAAAUGCCUCAGAAAGCAAGCUUUGAGCCAAAAUCAAAGAAGGAUUCAUACAUAAUUGAACUUGUCAUGAUAUACAUACAAUUCAUGUGUAGAUAUGGCCAUGAUUUUCAUCAACAUUGCUUUUUAAAUCUAUUUGAUAUUUUAAAUAAGGGUACUUGUCUGAUCUUGGUUAUAAGAUGUAAUCAAAAGAUCUAUGUUUUAAUACACUUCAAUACAUUUUUCUUCUAAACUGUUCUCAAUAAAAUAUUUGCAAUAUAUUUUCUGAGAGAAGUUCCUUUGCUCCAGUGGUGUAGAAGGCACAGAGCACCACUGAACUUCACAGGCAGAAACUUCCAACCAAGCCAACAAUCUCAAACAAUGCUCUCUCAAUUUCGUAUAUGGAAGGACAUGAAGUUGCAUUAUGAGAACUGUCCACCUCCUUUUUUAACUAAAUAAAGGACAGGGGGAAAAGUGUACAACAAAAUCUUCUCUAUUUUUGCUGAUGUUAUGCAUUAGUAAAGAGCUUUUAAAGAAGACAAAACAUAAACGCAGAGCACAAUACAAGUGAGGGACACCAUUACAGUGAGUAGCAGCCACACUCACUAGGGUCGUCAUCCUGCCUUUAGAAGUUUUUUUUUGUUCUUCAGAGCCCAGACAGACUUCAAGAAGUCUUUGCCAAGCUACAAAAGCUUGACAAUUAAAGUCUGUGUGGAAAUAUUAUGAAGAAAGGAACAAUUAUCAUAAUGAGAGAUGUACUGUACCUAAAAGAUUGCAUUUUAUUUCUUUGAGAGUAAUUGCAAAAGCUGUUGGAAAAUAAUCACAGCCUUAUUCAACCCAGCCAGGAGGAAAGGAGGCAGCUGGACAAACGUCAGUGUUCAUUGCGAAACACAGAGGAAGAUAAACUGGGGAGACUGAAAAAAGCUCUGCAAGAUGCAUCACUUCUUUGUGAUGUAACUGCUCGAAGAUGAACAGACAGGCACAGCACUAAGGAGUAGCGUGGACACUUUACUUGCCAUCCAUCCCUAGAAAUAAAUUCUUCAUUGGCAAACCGAAGCCAACUCCAGAUCAACUCAGGGACAGACAACGGGAUCAAGAACUGCUCAUCAAGAGGAGCACCACACCUGCAACACUGACACUUCUGAUGUUGCUGAUGUUUAUGGUGUCCUUGGCGAUCACAGCAUGUCACAAACAACUACAAUGGAUGCAAGAAUAUAUGCAGAAGAUUAAAGAAGAGCGUGAUCCCUUUGGGAGUUGGCUUAACAUACUGUUUGGGGGAGUGGGUUCAUGGUUAAAGCAAUUGCUUAAGGUUUUCGUGAUAGGGCUUGCAAUCUUUGUGUGUAUUCUG